rnacentral:rRNA from 1 species
AUUGAACGCUGGCGGCAUGCCUUACACAUGCAAGUCGAACGGCAGCACGGGGCAACCUGGUGGCGAGUGGCGAACGGGUGAGUAAUGCAUCGGAACGUACCUUUCAGUGGGGGAUAACGUAGCGAAAGUUACGCUAAUACCGCAUAUUCUGUGAGCAGGAAAGCAGGGGAUCGCAAGACCUUGCGCUGAUUGAGCGGCCGAGGUCAGAUUAGCUAGUUGGUGAGGUAAAGGCUCAACAAGGCGACGAUCUGGAGCGGGUCCGAGAGGAUGAUCCGCCACACUGGAAUUGAGACACGGGACAGACUCCGACGGGAGGCAGCAGUGGAGAAUUUUGGACAAUGGGGGCAACCCUGAUCCAGCCAUGCCGCGUGAGUGAAGAAGGCCUUCGGGUUGUAAAGCGCUUUUGUCCGGAACGAAACAGUGCGGGUGAACAUCCCGCGCUAAUGACGGUACCGGAAGAAUAAGCACCGGCUAACUACGUGCCAGCAGCCGCCGUAACAC